CACUCCUGCGGGAGGCAGCAGUGGGGAAUAUUGCACAAUGGGCGCAAGCCUGAUGCAGCCAUGCCGCGUGUAUGAAGAAGGCCUUCGGGUUGUAAAGUACUUUCAGCGGGGAGGAAGGCGAUAAGGUUAAUAACCUUGUCGAUUGACGUUACCCGCAGAAGAAGCACCGGCUAACUCCGUGCCAGCAGCCGCGGUAAUACGGAGGGUGCAAGCGUUAAUCGGAAUUACUGGGCGUAAAGCGCACGCAGGCGGUCUGUCAAGUCGGAUGUGAAAUCCCCGGGCUCAACCUGGGAACUGCAUUCGAAACUGGCAGGCUAGAGUCUUGUAGAGGGGGGUAGAAUUCCAGGUGUAGCGGUGAAAUGCGUAGAGAUCUGGAGGAAUACCGGUGGCGAAGGCGGCCCCCUGGACAAAGACUGACGCUCAGGUGCGAAAGCGUGGGGAGCAAACAGGAUUAGAUACCCUUGUAGUCCCAUG
rnacentral:rRNA from 1 species